GGUUCCUGUCCAACGUUAAUCGGGGCAGGGUGAGUCGACCCCUAAGGCGAGGCCGAAAGGCGUAGUCGAUGGGAAACAGGUUAAUAUUCCUGUACUUGGUGUUACUGCGAAGGGGGGACGGAGAAGGCUAUGUUGGCCGGGCGACGGUUGUCCCGGUUUAAGCGUGUAGGCUGGUUUUCCAGGCAAAUCCGGAAAAUCAAGGCUGAGGCGUGAUGACGAGGCACUACGGUGCUGAAGCAACAAAUGCCCUGCUUCCAGGAAAAG
rnacentral:rRNA from 1 species